GCUGAUGUGGCUCAGAGGUAGAGCACUUCCUUGGUAAGGAAGGGGUCGACGGUUCAAUUCCGUUCAUCAGCUCCA
rnacentral:tRNA from 1 species